CGCUGGCGGCGUGCCUAACACAUGCAAGUCGAACGGGGUAUUAUUUCGGUAGAUACCUAGUGGCGAACGGGUGAGUAACGCGUGAGCAACCUGACCUUUUGAGGGGGAUAACAACCGGAAACGGUUGCUAAUACCGCAUAAGACCACACUGUCGCAUGGCAGAGGGGUCAAAGGAGAAAUCCGCAGAAGGAGGGGCUCGCGUCCCAUUAGAUAGUUGGUGAGGUAACGGCUCACCAAGUCAGCGAUGGGUAGCCGAGCUGAGAGGCUGAUCGGCCACACUGGAACUGAGACACGGUCCAGACUCCUACGGGAGGCAGCAGUGGGGAAUAUUGGGCAAAUGGGGGAAACCCUGACCCAGCAACGCCGCGUGAGGGAAGAAGGCUUUCGGGUUGUAAACCUCUGUCGCAGGGGACGAAACAAAUGACGGUACCCUGUGAGGAAGCCCCGGCUAACUACGUGCCAGCCGCUGC
rnacentral:rRNA from 1 species